rnacentral:rRNA from 1 species
GUCGUCAGCUCGUGUCGUGAGAUGUUGGGUUAAGUCCUGCAACGAGCGCAACCCUUGUCCUCUGUUGCCAUCAGGUUAAGCUGGGCACUCUGAGGAGACUGCCGGUGAUAAACCGGAGGAAGGUGGGGAUGACGUCAAGUCAGCAUGGCCUUUAUGUCUGGGGCUACACACGUGCUACAAUGGCAGAUACAAACCGUCGCGAUGCCGCAAGGUGGAGCUAAUCGGAGAAAGUCUGUCUCAGUUCGGAUUGCAGGCUGCAACUCGCCUGCAUGAAGUUGGAAUCGCUAGUAAUCGCGGAUCAGCACGCCGCGGUGAAUACGUUCCCGGGCAUGUGGCGUACAAGGCCUAGACUGCAACAAAACCGGUGAAUACGUUCCCGGGCAUGUGGUGUACAAGGCCUAGACUGCAAUAGCUGCGGUGAAUACGUUCCCGGGCAAUCUCUAGAG